rnacentral:rRNA from 1 species
GACGAACGCUGGCGGCGUGCCUAAUACAUGCAAGAAGAACGCUGAAGGAGGAGCUUACUUCUCUGGAUGAGUUGCGAACGGGUGAGUAACGCGUAGGUAACCUGCCUGGUAGCGGGGGAUAACUAUUGGAAACGAUAGCUAAUACCGCAUAAGAGUAGAUGUUGCAUGACAUUUACUUAAAAGGUGCAAUUGCACCACUACCAGAUGGACCUGCGUUGUAUUAGCUAGUUGGUGGGGUAACGGCUUACCAAGGCGACGAUACAUAGCCGACCUGAGAGGGUGAGCGGCCACACUGGGACUGAGACACGGCCCAGACUCCGACGGGAGGCAGCAGUAGGGAAUCUUCGGCAAUGGACGGAAGUCUGACCGAGCAACGCCGCGUGAGUGAAGAAGGUUUUCGGAUCGUAAAGCUCUGUUGUAAGAGAAGAACGAGUGUGAGAGUGGAAAGUUCACACUGUGACGGUAUCUUACCAGAAAGGGACGGCUAACUACGUGCCAGCCGCCGCGGUAA